rnacentral:rRNA from 1 species
CCUAACACAUGCAAGUCGAACGGUAACAGGAAGCAGCUUGCUGCUUCGCUGACGAGUGGCGGACGGGUGAGUAAUGUCUGGGAAGCUGCCUGAUGGAGGGGGAUAACUACUGGAAACGGUAGCUAAUACCGCAUAAUGUCGCAAGACCAAAGAGGGGGACCUUCGGGCCUCUUGCCAUCGGAUGUGCCCAGAUGGGAUUAGCUAGUAGGUGGGGUAACGGCUCACCUAGGCGACGAUCCCUAGCUGGUCUGAGAGGAUGACCAGCCACACUGGAACUGAGACACGGUCCAGACUCCUACGGGAGGCAGCAGUGGGGAAUAUUGCACAAUGGGCGCAAGCCUGAUGCAGCCAUGCCGCGUGUAUGAAGAAGGCCUUCGGGU